GCUAAUGCUUAUAAACACAAAAAUAGCAUAGAAAACCAGACUUCUCAUUUCUGCACUUAAACCGUCUGGGACUAAAACAUUUCGGUCUCCUCCAGGAGUACAUGAAACAGGAAGGACAUAGAGUCUGUGGCCUCUAUUAGGCUAUGUAGUUGCAGCAGUAGCAAUAAUAAUAGUGGAAGCACCUAGCAAUAGCAAUAUUGUGGUUGAAGGAAACAUGAGAGAUUCCGCAGUCAUCAAUAUGAGUGUUGGAAGCUUCAGUCCUGCGGCGUCGUGGAGGUUGAACCUCCAGCACCGCCUUCCCCUUCGCCCCUCCUAUCUUUGCCUCCAAUCACGGUCGUUAAGAAGUUGGACGCGGUUUUGAGCGCGCCGCUAUAUACCUGCUCUCUGAUCUUCCGCCUGCUUGGGUUAGGAUUUCCCUUUGCUUUCUUCUGGCCUUGGUCGUUCGGCAUUUCUAGAUGAAUGCAAUAGAGCUGGGGAAGAAAGGUGGGGGANAGGGA
rnacentral:lncRNA from 1 species